GUGAUUCAUGACUGGGGUGAAGUCGUAACAAGGUAACCGUAGGGGAACCUGCGGUUGGAUCACCUCCUUACC
rnacentral:rRNA from 2 species